rnacentral:rRNA from 1 species
UACGUAGGGGGCAAGCGUUUGUCCGGAAUCAUUGGGCGUAAAGAGCGUGUAGGCGGCUUGGUAAGUCCGCUGUGAAAGUCCCAGGGCUCAACCCUGGAAUGCCGGUGGAAACUGUCAAAGCUUGAGUCCGGAAGAGGCGAAGUGGAAUUCCUGGUGUAGCGGGUGAAAAUGCGCCAGAUAUCAGGGAGGAACACCGAUGGCGAAAGGGCAGGGUCUCUGGGG